CACAGCUCCAGGCGGUGUUCGGUCAGAGUGAGCCGUGUUCACUCUGAGGAUGCUGUCACCGGUGGGUUGACUCGUUCCAUGCAGCGGACACUGGACAUGCUGGUGUGAGCUCCUCCGGCUCCACAGCGCAGGAGACACUCUUGAACUGAGACGACGCAGCUCCAGCGCUUUAUUCUGAAUACCUGUACUUUACGGAGGGCGACAAGUCGGCAGACGACUUCCAUCUGAAGGUCGUUGAGUCCGUGCAGCUGUUUCACUCUUGCCUGUCCGAGAGGACAAUGCGUUACUGCGCCUACGACCCCAGCCUCUCUUACACCAUGCCGGUGGGGCUGAAUGUGGGAAUGUCUUCUUACUGGACUGGCUGACAGUUUUCCAUCGGGAGCAGAUUCUGGUUGUUCGACUGGAACACUACGCAGCCAAUAUCAAAGUGUCAAUCAGGAACGUUUCUGACUUCCUGAGUAUAGAUCCUCUGUCUGAGCAGGUGGAGGAAGCAGUGACCAAACAGCCCAGGACAGGAACUGAUGCUUCCUGUCACCAGGAUCCUCCUCAGGGAAUUUCACCAGCCCUUCAACGAUAAACUUGCCAGUGUGCUGAACAACAAGGCCUUUCUCUGGAGUAACACUUGAAGGGGUGGGGGUGGAAUAACUCCUGAUGGACGUGUAUGAGAACCAGGAUCAUUUUCAAUGACCGCAGGACGGAGGUGUGCUUUUGCAGCCUCAUCUUACCUCGUGCUGUCGUUGGCACCUACACACGUGUGUCAUGUAAAGAUCACAUGAGACGACCUUUUACUCUUUAAGAUGAGGAAUAAGAAAGAGAAGAAUUACAAGAGUGGGAAAACUGUUUUUAAAUAGGGAUGUUUUGGUGCGCAGGGACCUUUAGCACCUCCUAGAGGUCUGCAGCUGGAAGAGGUGGUGAGAGGGGUCAGAGUUUGUUUCUUUGUGAUUGUGCAUUGUGGUUGUAGUGAUUCCACUGAUGACAGGACGGUGUCAGUAAACUUGGAUGAUUUAUUGAAUAUGUUCUGCUGCUAUUUGUGGUUUUAUAGGAGAUCCUGGUGAGUAUUGAUGUUCCAUUCAAGCGUAUUGCUAUUAUUAGUGCUGAGGAAUGGACAAGCCUGUGAUUAUGGUUUCUCCAGUGAGGUGUAUUGGGGGUUGUGGGCAUGCUGGCCUCUGAAAUCUAUAAUGACGUCUUUCGUUUUACUUGUGUUGAGGAGGAGAUUGUCGUCAAAGCCCGAAACCACUUGCUAAGGCUACCUCCUGAGGGUAUCGACCUUCGUUGCUAUUUGCAUACGGAGCGUUGAGUGGUUUGUGUAGAGGCACAAGAGUCAGGGUGAGAGUACACAAGUGUGGGUGACGCCUGUGUUGUGUGUCAGAGACUCUAUUAGCAUGUGUAGAGAUCAACGUUCAUGUCCAUCUGUUUAUUGAAGGGAUUAACACAUGGGCGUAGGCGUCAGGUGUCGUAGUGCGUGAUCAACCAGUGCAAGAAGCUCUAGCAGCAGCGGAGGAAGCACACUAUUUAGUGAAGUGUGUGGGUCUUUGUCUGCGAUAUUUAUUUGCUUUUGAUAGAAUGAUGAUAAUAAUAUAAUCAAGUGGAUUUGUAUUUUAAUUUGAUGCUUUUAAUAGUGUUGAAAAGCCAAAGACAGCAAAGGAAUUCUGAAGAAAUGUGUCAAUUAGAUGCACAAAACAUCUAUGACAUUGUCGAACAGCCUCAGAUAAAUAAACCUUUUAUUUUACCCUGUGUGAACAACCUUUAACUGAAUUAUAUCUGUGAUUCAGGAAGGGACAGUGUGGAAUAAGGAUGUUGGAUGAUAAAGGAGAUAAAAUAGACAAAACAUGGCAAAGGAGAGUAGAAUUAAUAAUCAUGUUCAUGUUUAGGGAUCAGUCAGUAGAGGGCACUAAAACACAGAUUAUAACUCCAGCAGCUCAACAUCCAGACGAUCAGAUUGUUCCACUCAUAUGUUAAUGUCAUUUUUCUGUGUUUUUUCAGGCUUCAAUCCAGGUGGAAAUGUGUAAAUAGGUUUUUCUAUUUUUUCUAUUCCUUCUUUUAGGGUAACUGAAACAAACCAAAUCUGACCAAAACCAAAAGAAUGAAAUCCAGGUGAGAGAUGGUGUGUUACAGUCGGACCAGAUGAACUCUGAUGAUCUGACUCUGCCCUCCAGGUUUCAGAUUUAACCCCACAAUCACUUUACUGCAGCUUAACUCAUUAACAUGCAACUGCUUUUAAUUUAUUCUUUAUUUUAAAUUGUUUUCAUCCAAGUGCUGUCACUGCUUAUGUUGUCAUGAAAUGCUGGUGCUUGAGAAUUAUUAAAUUUAAGUUUUUUUACAGUGUACUGUGAUAAAU